AUAUCAAUAAGCGGAGGAAAAGAAACUAACAAGGAUUCCUUUAGUAACGGCGAGUGAACCGGGAAAAGCUCAAAUUUGUAAUCUGGCUGUCUUCGAUAGUCCGAGUUGUAAUCUAUAGACGUGUUUUCCGUGCUGGAUCGUAUCUAAGUCCCUUGGAACAGGGUAUCAAAGAGGGUGACAAUCCCGUGCUUGAUACGACGACCAGUGCUCUGUGAUACACGUUCUACGAGUCGAGUUGUUUGGGAAUGCAGCUCAAAAUGGGUGGUAAAUUCCAUCUAAAGCUAAAUAUUGGCGAGAGACCGAUAGCGAACAAGUACCGUGAGGGAAAGAUGAAAAGCACUUUGGAAAGAGAGUUAAACAGUACGUGAAAUUGUUGAAAGGGAAACGAUUGAAGUCAGUCGUGUUCUUCAGAUUCAGCUGGUUCUUCCAGUCUACUUCUGUUGAACGGGUCAACAUCAGUUUUGUCCGGUGGAUAAAGGUAGUAGGAAUGUGACUCCCCCGGGAGUGUUAUAGCCUAUUAUUGCAUACACUGGGUGAGACUGAGGACUGCAGCUCGCCUUUUGGCCGGUCUUCGGACACGUUCGAGCUUAGGAUGUUGACAUAAUGGCUUUAAACGAC
rnacentral:rRNA from 1 species